rnacentral:rRNA from 1 species
AGUGAACGCUGGCGGUAUGCCUAAUACAUGCAAGUCGAACGGAAACAUAGUAAGAGUGCGCCUUUACGGGUGGCGAGUGGCGGACGGGUGACGCAUACAUAGGCAUCUUCUAUUUCUGGGGGGACAACGGAGGGAAACUUACGCUAAUACCGCAUACGUCCUACGGGUGAAAUCAGUAGUGCUUCGCACUUUUCGUGAUUGAUUGAGCCGAUGUCGGAUUAGCUAGUUGGCGGGGUAAAGGCCCACCAAGGCGACGAUCCGUAGCUGGUCUGAGAGGAUGAUCAGCCACACUGGAACUGAGACACGGUCCAGACUCCUACGGGAGGCAGCAGUGGGGAAUAUUGGGCAAUGGGCGAAAGCCUGACCCAGCCAUACCGCGUGAGUGAAGAAGGCCUUCGGAUUGUAAAGCCCUUUUAUUAGGAAAGAAAAACUGUAGAUUAAUCCCCCGCUGUUCUGACGGUACCCAAAGAAUAAGCACCGGCUAACUUCGUG